rnacentral:rRNA from 1 species
GACGAACGCUGGCGGCGUGCCUAAUACAUGCAAGUCGAACGCAGUGGGGACGGGUGAGUAACACGUGGGUAACCUCCCAUCAGAGGGGAUAACACUUGCAAAAAGGUGCUAAACCGAUAGUGAUGGAUGGACCCGCGUUGCAUUAGCUAGUUGGUGAGGUAACGGCUCACCAAGGCCACGAUGCAUAGCCAACCGUAGAGGGUGAUCGGCCACACUGGGACUGAGACCCGGCCCAGACCCCUACGGGAGGCAGCAGUAGGGAAUCUGCGGCAAUGGACGAAAGUCUGACCGAGCAACGCCGCGUGAGUGAAGAAGGUUUUCGGAUCGUAAAACUCUGUUGUUAGAUAAGCGGUAUCUAACCAGAAAGCCACGGCUAACUACGUGCCAGCAGCCGCGGUAAUUC